UGGGGAAUAUUGGACAAUGGGCGAAAGCCUGAUCCAGCCAUGCCGCGUGAGUGAUGACGGCCCUAGGGUUGUAAAGCUCUUUCAACGGUGAAGAUAAUGACGGUAACCGUAGAAGAAGCCCCGGCUAACUUCGUGCCAGCAGCCGCGGUAAUACGAAGGGGGCUAGCGUUGUUCGGAAUAACUGGGCGUAAAGCGCGCGUAGGCGGAUUGUUUAGUUAGGGGUGAAAUCCCGGGGCUCAACCCCGGAACUGCCUUUAAUACUGGCAAUCUAGAGUUCGAGAGAGGUGAGUGGAAUUCCGAGUGUAGAGGUGAAAUUCGUAGAUAUUCGGAGGAACACCAGUGGCGAAGGCGGCUCACUGGCUCGAUACUGACGCUGAGGUGCGAAAGCGUGGGGAGCAAACAGGAUUAGAUACCCCCGUAGUCC
rnacentral:rRNA from 1 species